rnacentral:rRNA from 1 species
AGCAGUGGGGAAUAUUGGGCAAUGGGCGCAAGCCUGACCCAGCAACGCCGCGUGAAGGAAGAAGGCUCUCGGGUUGUAAACUUCUUUUAUCAGGGACGAAGCAAGUGACGGUACCUGAUGAAUAAGCCACGGCUAACUACGUGCCAGCAGCCGCGGUAAUACGUAGGUGGCAAGCGUUAUCCGGAUUUACUGGGUGUAAAGGGCGUGUAGGCGGGAAAGCAAGUCAGAUGUGAAAACCAUGGGCUCAACCUGUGGCCUGCAUUUGAAACUGUUUUUCUUGAGUACUGGAGAGGCAGACGGAAUUCCUAGUGUAGCGGUGAAAUGCGUAGAUAUUAGGAGGAACACCAGUGGCGAAGGCGGUCUGCUGGACAGCAACUGACGCUGAGGCGCGAAAGCGUGGGGAGCAAACAGGAUUAGAUACCCUGGUAGUCCACGCUGUAAACGAUGGAUACUAGGUGUGGGGGGACUGACCCCCUCC